rnacentral:rRNA from 1 species
AGAGUUUGAUCAUGGCUCAGAAUCAACGCUGGCGGCGUGCCUCAGACAUGCAAGUCGAACGAUUAAAGCUCUCUUCGGAGAGUGUAUAGAGUGGCGCACGGGUGAGUAACACGUAAGUAAUCUACCUUCGAGUGGGGAAUAACGUCCGGAAACGGACGCUAAUACCGCAUAAUGCAGCGGCAUCGUAAGAUGACAGUUGUUAAAGAUUUAUCGCUUGAAGAGGAGCUUGCGGCAGAUUAGCUAGUUGGUAAGGUAAUGGCUUACCAAGGCUACGAUCUGUAACCGGUCUUAGAGGACGGUCGGUCACACUGACACUGAAUAACGGGUCAGACUCCUACGGGAGGCAGCAGUCGGGAAUUUUGGGCAAUGGGCGAAAGCCUGACCCAGCAACGCCGCGUGAAGGAUGAAGUAUUUCGGUAUGUAAACUUCGAAAGAAUAGGAAGAAUAAAUGACGGUACUAUUAUAAG